rnacentral:rRNA from 1 species
AAUCAACGCUGGCGGCGUGCCUAACACAUGCAAGUCGAGCGCGAAAGGGGAGCAAUCCCCAAGUAGAGCGGCGAACGGGUGAGUAACGCGUGGGUAAUCUACCUCCGAGUGGGGAACAACAGCGGGAAACUGCUGCUAAUACCGCAUGACAUCGUCGAGCCUUCGGGCCUGACGAUCAAAGCCGGGGACCGCAAGGCCUGGCGCUUGGAGAGGAGCCCGCGUCCGAUUAGCUAGUUGGCGGGGUAAUGGCCCACCAAGGCUCCGAUCGGUAGCCGGCCUGAGAGGGCGGACGGCCACACUGGGACUGAGACACGGCCCAGACUCCUACGGAGGCAGCAGUGGGGAAUUUUUCGCAAUGGGGGAAACCCUGACGAAGCAACGCCGCGUGGAGGAUGAAGGCCUC